UACGGGGGGGGCAAGCGUUGUUCGGAAUUACUGGGCGUAAAGGGCUCGUAGGCGGCCAACUAAGUCGGAUGUGAAAUCCCCAGGCUCAACUUGGGAACUGCAUCCGAUACUGGAUGGCUUGAAUUCGGGAGAGGGAUGCAGAAUUCCAGGUGUAGCGGUGAAAUGCGCAGAUAUCGGGAGGAACACCAAUGGCGAAGGCAGCUCGCUGGGACGGUACUGACGCUGAGGCGCGAAAGCGUGGGGAGCAAACAGG
rnacentral:rRNA from 1 species